rfam:Picea glauca, whole genome shotgun sequence.
ACAUGCCUACAACAUAGUGUUAAUGCACCGGAUCCCAUUAGAACUUCGCAGUUAAGUGCGCUUAAGCUAGAGUAGUACUGGGAUGGGUGACCGCCCGAGAAGUCCUAGUAUUUUACAUGCC